rnacentral:rRNA from 1 species
AACGAACGCUGGCGGCAUGCCUAACACAUGCAAGUCGAACGAGACCUUCUGGUCUAGUGGCGCACGGGUGCGUAACGCGUGGGAACCUGCCCUUAGGUUCGGAAUAACUCCCCGAAAGGGGUGCUAAUACCGGAUAAUGUCUUCGGACCAAAGAUUUAUCGCCUUUGGAUGGGCCCGCGUUGGAUUAGCUAGUUGGUAGGGUAAAAGCCUACCAAGGCGCCGAUCCAUAGCUGGUCUGAGAGGAAGAUCAGCAACACGGGGACUGAGACACGGCCCAGACUCCUACGGGAGGCAGAAGUGGGGAAUAUUGGACAAUGGGCGAAAGACUGAUCCAGCAAUGCCGCGUGAGGGAUGAAGGCCUUAGGGUUGUAAAGCUCUUUUACCCGGGAUGAUAAUGUCAGUACCGGGAGAAUAAGCGCCGGCUAACUCCGUG